rnacentral:rRNA from 1 species
CCUACGGGAGGCAGCAGUGAGGAAUAUUGGUCAAUGGGCGCGAGCCUGAACCAGCCAAGUAGCGUGAAGGAUGACUGCCCUACGGGUUGUAAACUUCUUUUAUAAAGGAAUAAUGUGAGGCACGUGUGCCUUUUUGUAUGUACUUUAUGAAUAAGGAUCGGCUAACUCCGUGCCAGCAGCCGCGGUAAUACGGAGGAUCCGAGCGUUAUCCGGAUUUAUUGGGUUUAAAGGGAGCGUAGAUGGGUUGGUAAGUCAGUUGUGAAAGUUUGUGGCUCAACCGUAAAAUUGCAAUUGAUACUGGCAGUCUUGAGGACAGGUGAGGUAGGCGGAAUUCGUGGUGUAGCGGUGAAAUGCGUAGAUAGCACGAAGAACUCCGAUUGCGAAGGCAGCUUACUAAACUGCCACUGACAUUGAGGCUCGAAAGUGUGGGGAUCAAACAGGAUUAGAUACCCCUGUAGUC